GGGCGGUUAGCUCAAUGGUAGAGCGUUCGCUUGACGUGCGAAAGGUUGAAGGUUCGAGUCCUUCACCGCCCA
rnacentral:tRNA from 1 species